UGGGGAAUUUUGGACAAUGGGCGCAAGCCUGAUCCAGCCAUGCCGCGUGCGGGAAGAAGGCCUUCGGGUUGUAAACCGCUUUUGUCAGGGAAGAAAUCUUCUGAGUUAAUACCUCGGGAGGAUGACGGUACCUGAAGAAUAAGCACCGGCUAACUACGUGCCAGCAGCCGCGGUAAUACGUAGGGUGCAAGCGUUAAUCGGAAUUACUGGGCGUAAAGCGUGCGCAGGCGGUUUUGUAAGACAGAGGUGAAAUCCCCGGGCUCAACCUGGGAACUGCCUUUGUGACUGCAAGGCUUGAGUGCGGCAGAGGGGGAUGGAAUUCCGCGUGUAGCAGUGAAAUGCGUAGAUAUGCGGAGGAACACCGAUGGCGAAGGCAAUCCCCUGGGCCUGCACUGACGCUCAUGCACGAAAGCGUGGGGAGUAAAACAGGAUUAGAUACCCUGGUAGUCCACGCCCUAAACGAUGUCAACUGGUUGUUGGGAAGGUUCCUUCUCAGUAACGUAGCUAACGCGUGAAGUUGACCGCCUGGGGAGUACGGCCGCAAGGUUGAAACUCAAAUGAAUUGACGGGGUCAUAGCUGUUUCCU
rnacentral:rRNA from 1 species